rnacentral:lncRNA from 1 species
AAUUGCUUCAUUGUUGAGUUCUGGUGACAUCUAAGUGUUAUUGACCAAGUAGAUCUUAGCUGCAGCUUGCAGUAGCACCUUCCAUUUCGGGCCGGGCGUAGACAAGAAGCUCGACAGUUUUGCUUAGAGAUGUCACUUCCUCAGUUCCUCGUCUGUGUGUUUGGCCUCGAUGUGUUUUGGGUGAAAGAUAGCAAAUCCCUGGCAUCAAUAGUGAGCUCACCGAGCAACAAUGUCAGAUGUUUCUACAGUGCUGACAAGAUAAUUUUGAUAGGCAGUAAAAUAUCAUCAGCCAGCAUGCUGAGCCUAUCUCCAUCCUCAGCUUCCUAUAAUGAAACAUAUCAUCCGUUUAUAUAGUUUUGAAUGGAUUAACAGGCACAUUUCCCGAGCUUCUGAACAGUGUGAUUUUUGGUAAAACAAACUUUCUAUAUAUGAAUUUCUUGAACACAGUUUUAAAUCCAUUUAUUUCAACUUUGUAAUAUUUAAUUUAUUUGUUUGCACCUCCAAUAAUCAUCACAAAUCAUUUAUCUAUUUAGCCAUUCAGCACAAAAAACGAAGUAACAAUGUUGAAAUGAACUUUGCUGGGUUCUCUAAUAUGUUUGGCGGAUUCUUUGAACAAUAUACAUGGUAUUCUUUGUGUUUUUUAAUAGAACAGACUCAAUGCAUUCUCAUUUUACAUCUUGUGGAGAUUCUGCAGAAAGAUAGCAUAGGACAAAGACUCUUGGUGAUCAACAGGUGAUAGUAAGAUUGAUAUAGCAAAGCAUAUGCAAUACUACAAAAGAAAAGUUUAAAAUACUCACAGGACUGCAGUGUCUAUAACUCCAUGAAAAAUUUGAGAGGUGCCAGCCCCACUGAAGUUAUUGAGGUAACUCUGCAAGCUGAAAACUCAAUUAAUUAGUUUAAGUAGAUAUACGGGUGAGCCUUUACAAUAUAUCUGUAAUUAUGUUGAAAACUCAAUACAAAGUGUUAUUCCCUUCCCUCCCCAGCACCAGACAAACCCUUCCUAGUCUGUUCUUGCUUCUUCCUGUCAGGGGGGAUACCACAUGCCAAUCUACUAACCAUGCCAGUCACAGAUGCAGAAAAUCACCUGUUACCCUUCAGUAGAGGUAGCAUACAGAUCUGGAAAACCGACCAGACCUGUGUUAGUGAGGACUGAUCGGGAGGGAGCUUUGUUUUUCUUUUGGGUCCAAAAUGGAAUCCACUUGCAAUCAGCUGGACGCAAAAAAUCUCUUCAAAUUCCAUUCUUACAAGUUUCACAUGUAAUAAAUGUUGUAUGAUCUUUAAAUAGAAAGGACCAACGGCACACAUGGUACAUAUAACCCACAUGUCAUAUACAGUUCAAUGCUGUUAACUUCACUGUUAGUACUACAAACUAAGCAAUUUUAUUCCAAUUAGUAAACCCUUUGUAUGUACAUGGUCAGUACUUAAAUGUUUGCCCUUUCUAUGUUAAUCUGUUCUCCUAUGUGGUUCCAAAAGGAGUGAUCCCAUCCCCGCAUAGCUCCAUAGCAGUGUGAUAUUCCUUUUUAAAAGUUUAAACCAAUUAAGUAAUGAGAGAAUCAGCCUCCGC